UGGGGAAUAUUGCACAAUGGAGGGAACUCUGAUGCAGCGACGCCGCGUGAACGAAGAAGGCGUUCGAGUCGUAAAGUUCUUUUAUAUGGGAAGAUAAUGACGGUACCAUAAGAAAAAGCCCCGGCUAACUACGUGCCAGCAGCCGCGGUAAUACGUAGGGGGCUAGCGUUGUCCGGAAUCACUGGGCGUAAAGGGUUCGCAGGCGGAAAUGCAAGUCAGGUGUAAAAGGCAGUAGCUUAACUACUGUAAGCAUUUGAAACUGCAUAUCUUGAGAAGAGUAGAGGUAAGUGGAAUUUUUAGUGUAGCGGUGAAAUGCGUAGAUAUUAAAAAGAAUACCGGUGGCGAAGGCGACUUACUGGGCUCAUUCUGACGCUGAGGAACGAAAGCGUGGGUAGCAAACAGG
rnacentral:rRNA from 1 species